rnacentral:misc_RNA from 1 species
GAUGAAGAACGUAGUGAAAUGCGAUAAGUAAUGUGAAUUGCAGAAUUCAGUGAAUCAUCGAAUCUUUGAACGCAUCUUGCGCUCCUUGGUAUUCUGAGGAGCAAGCCUGUUUGAGUGUCAUUAAAUUCUCAACUACACUGACUUUGAAUUGGUGUGGCUUGGAUUUGGGGGGAAAAUUGUUGUGGGCUUUUUGUAUAGUCUGCUCCCCUGAAAUUGAUUAGCGGUACCUUUGUGGAACUGUCUACAGGUGUGAUAAUUAUCUACAUCUUAGACAUCUGCUGGAAUGCUGCUUUCUAAACCUUACUUGUAUUGACAAUCUUGACCUCAAAUCAGGUAGGACUACCCGCUGAACUUAAGCAUAUCAAUAAGCGGAGGA